GAUGAACGCUAGCUACAGGCUUAACACAUGCAAGUCGAGGGGCAGCACAGUGUAGCAAUACAUGGGUGGCGACCGGCGCACGGGUGCGUAACGCGUAUCCAACCUUCCCGUUACUCUUGGAUAGCCUUCCGAAAGGGAGAUUAAUACAAGAUGGUAUUCAAAUUCCGCAUGUUAUUUGAAUUAAAGAUUAAUCGGUAACGGAUGGGGAUGCGUGACAUUAGAUAGUAGGCGGGGUAACGGCCCACCUAGUCUACGAUGUCUAGGGGUUCUGAGAGGAAGGUCCCCCACACUGGAACUGAGACACGGUCCAGACUCCUACGGGAGGCAGCAGUGAGGAAUAUUGGUCAAUGGUCGGAAGACUGAACCAGCCAAGUAGCGUGAAGGAUGAAGGUUCUAUGGAUUGUAAACUUCUUUUAUACGGGAAUAAAACCUCCCACGUGUGGGGGCUUGUAUGUACCGUAUGAAUAAGCAUCGGCUAACUCCGUG
rnacentral:rRNA from 1 species